AGUGAACGCUGGCGGUAGGCCUAACACAUGCAAGUCGAACGGCAGCACAGUAAGAGCUUGCUCUUACGGGUGGCGAGUGGCGGACGGGUGAGGAAUACAUCGGAAUCUACUUUUUCGUGGGGGAUAACGUAGGGAAACUUACGCUAAUACCGCAUACGACCUACGGGUGAAAGCAGGGGAUCUUCGGACCUUGCGCGAUUGAAUGAGCCGAUGUCGGAUUAGCUAGUUGGCGGGGUAAAGGCCCACCAAGGCGACGAUCCGUAGCUGGUCUGAGAGGAUGAUCAGCCACACUGGAACUGAGACACGGUCCAGACUCCUACGGGAGGCAGCAGUGGGGAAUAUUGAACAAUGGGCGCAAGCCUGAUCCAGCCAUACCGCGUGGGUGAAGAAGGCCUUCGGGUUGUAAAGCCCUUUUGUUGGGAAAGAAAAGCAGCAGGUUAAUACCCCGCUGUUCUGACGGUACCCAAAGAAUAAGCACCGGCUAACUUCGU
rnacentral:rRNA from 1 species